UAUUCUCAAGUCAUUUGUUCAUUGAAAUCCUACAUAAAUUACGAUGACAUACUAAAUUGUAUUCCUUCAAACCCAUUAAAGAAUUUUCUAUUCUAUUCAUUAGGUUAUUUUAUUAUUUAUUAUUUUUAAUAGCCUGCAAUUUUCCUUUCUUGUUUACCUGGAAAUUUAAUAUUUUCCUUUCCUAUUCAUACAGUUCGUUCUCAAGAUCCCUGCACAGUUUCUAUAUAACGCGUAAUUAACACGUAACUGUACUAUUGUCCCUGAGACUUCAAGUUUUCUACUUUUUUCGCCAACACGAUCAUAUUUCACAUUUUUUUACGGUAAAAUACUUGUGCUGGGCAUUCUUAGCUCAUUAAAUUCCGUCACGAAUUUAUUCGUCGUAGCUACGAGAAUACCGGCAAAGGUAAAUCUCACCGCCCCCGAAAAUUUAAGAUGACAGUUGUUGCGGCAUACGGCGCUCGCAACCCCUGAAAUCAUCGAACCGGAAGGGGGUGUCUCCAAGGGUGGAGGCAUGACGCAAGUGUACAAGAUCCGAAGGUCAGGUCCUCGGGAUUACUCAUUCAUAAACGCACUUCACGCUCCUUCCUCUUCUCUUCUGUCCCUUUUACCGAUCUAUGAGCAGGAUAUCCUCCAUAGUCUUGAAUCGAUGACCUACAUCCCAUGAAAAUGCCCUCUUCUAUUUUUCUUGCUUCUCUUUAGCUGCUCAUGGGAACGAGGAAGAGUGCAAUCAAAAUUUCUUUUCCAUCGAUAUUUCUAUUAUGUCGCUUAAUAGGUUUAUAAAUUGGCUUUUAUAUAAUUAAAAUAUAUUUGUUGUAAAGGGGUGUGUUACUUUGCGAAACGAAAGUUCAUACUUUAUAAUUUCCAAAAUAAUAUACGGAUCAAAUUUUAUGCAACCGUUUGUUUUAAAUGAAAAUUGUUGUAUAUUUGUUAGCGACUUCUAUUUUUGUUCUCAUUGGUAUUUAUUAAUAUUUAUGAAAGAAGUUUCUUACAAGGUAGAUUACAUUUUUAAUAAGUUGAACGGAAAUUCGAUAUGAAUCGAAUACUCAAAACAAGUUACAAUUUACACUCUUCCAAAAAUUGAUAAUUCUUAUCUGCUUCAAUCAAUAAAGGUCUUCUUAGAAAUUCCUCUCUUCAUUAUCUACAAAUUGUUCCGGAAGAUUUCACUUACGUAUUUUCUUACCUUCUCGUUGUUUAUCAUUUACAAUAAGAAUCCCUAAUGUUUCAGUCAUUUGUGACUUCUUAGGGAGAAUAUGUUGACAUAGGGAGGAAAGAUAUCGGAUGCAAACAAUCCUGAACAGUAUUGAUUUUACGUUGAAUAUUUCGAAGUCUAUAACGGUUACCUUAUUCUUAUCACUUAUUUAUGCAUUGAUAAACAAGUUUGUGGAAUGUAUGUAGAAUUUCCAAAAAGGAACGUGGUCGAUACAAAUGCAUAAAGCUACGUAUAAAUUAUUUUGAAUAAAUAUACAACAUUUUUACGAAACUACAUACACGCAUGUGUCGAAAAUUCGACUUAAACUUAAAUUUCGUAUGUAUACACAUUGUUCGUCUUAUUAUGUUCAGUCCUAGAAGGAACUUCGAACGUAAACAAAACAAUUUCGCUACAGUUCAACGAUGUCAACAAGACGUUUUUCUUUCCGUAACAAUCACGGCAAUAAUAAGUCACGUUAUUUAAGAGGACGCAGUUGGCGUGGUGGCAUUGAGAACAGCGUUUAUGCCAAACGCAUCGCGAUACAAAGUGUCCAUCGACAUGACUAGUGCAGUGGCCGUGGUUUAUCGACAACCUGUCGUCCCGACCUCGAGACAACGUCGAAAGUGCAGAACCCUUUCUGUUCUACGCGACCUGACGAAGUUGUUCUACGCGGUAAUACGGGCGAGUAGAAGUUUUGUUCAAGUUUGCACGUCGACUUCGAUAACAUCGUUCGAUGGCUUGGUAUCGCAUCAUGUACGCGCACCAUUUAUCUGACGUGAGAUAAUAGAUUAGCGAUGGAAUCUAACAAUCUUGUUAUAUAAUGUGCGAUAGUCUCGUACGUCCCUAAUUGCAAAAGAUGGUUAACAGUUUUAUCAAUUACAAGGUACGUAUGAUAUAGUUUCGAUAAUUGAGAUUCGAUGUUUUUGUAGAUAUUGUCUUUCUUUUACAGACACGUCUUAUACAACGAUGCAUCUUUAUGCAAAGAUGAAACCUAAUCUGUCGAACGUUGUGAUUUUUAUCUUGAUAGAACAAAAUGGAUCAUAAGUAAUUCGAUAAAAUAAUAUAAAACGGGAAAUAUUGUGCAUCCAUUAUUUCCUUAUAAAACGAAAGAAACCUUUCGGACGACCUAAUGUUAUGGUUUCAACAUUUUGGUUAUCUAGAAAAUAUAUCGUUUGAGUAUCGUUAUUUAGACAAUUAAUUAGGGAAUGAAUUGUUGAGACGUGUUUGAGAAAGUUUUUCAAAUUCUGUUAAAGAUUAUGAUUUACUUUUGUAUAUAUAUUUUAAACGAUAAGCUAAUUGUUUUGUGUAAGGUUUAAAAAAACAAGGUUUAUGUUUGCUUGGCUAUAAAGGUAUACCAAAAGAAAAUGACAAAUUCAAUAGUACGUUUUCGUUAAAUUAAUUUUACACUGAUCGACUCUAUUCAAACGGAACGUUCAAAACAACUACCUUGUUGCAAACAAAAUUUGAUCUCGGUGGCAACCAAAUAAAAUGCAAAAUAGUUGUUUACUCGAAUCCUUAUACCCACGAAGCGGAGAUAAACAUAUGAAAGGGUAAACAGAACGCAAACAUACACGAGUUUGUUUACCAUGCUCAUGGCAACCAGUUUUCUACCACGAAUUAUAUAUUUUUUCGAAAAUACGGUAGAACGAACUGACAUAGAUCGAACUGUACGCACAAACCGUACAUGUCCACAAACAUGAACAAGUAUUUAUUGUUACUCGUUUUAACUAGCCGAGAUGUACAAAUAUUCUCGAGCAGAAAUGUAUCGGAAAUCGUUUACCAGCCAUUUCGCGUGAAAUCGUGUGCCAUGCUUCUCCGUGUUUUCAGUCGCCUGCAAAAUUUACAUUUACUAAGUUUACGGUUCGCGGAGUACCCACACAUUUUUAGUUUACGCUAUCAAUAAGGCGAAUUUGUAGCAAAUAUUUUUAACGUAAUAAAUCAAUCAAAGUAUUGGAAUACCUUCGAACUCUAAUAAAUGUAUUUAUAUGCGGGGCGGUUUAGUAACUGGUGGUACAAACGGAAAGGGGGUGAUUCUACGCGAAAAAAGAAGUCGAAAAUAUAGAAUAAAAAUUUUUUUAAUUUUUUUUUUCUUAAAUCUUUCCAUCGAUUUUCUCGAUCCAAAGUCGAUUUUCUCGAAAACAAAGCUUCAGACGAAAAAUUUUUAUUCUAUAUUUUCGACUUCUUUUUUCGCGUAGAGUCACCCCCUUUCCGCUUGUAUCACCGAUUACCAACCACCCUGUAUAUCGCAUAGAAUAUAGCUUCUUAAGUGGUACUUCUUUUCUAAUAUUCUCCGUUCUUUGAUAAAAACUCUAAUUUUGAAUCAUUCCAAGCGAGACGCCAAAAUAUUCAACAUUCUAUGCGAGCAAAUUAGUCGUUGAUUAAAUAAUUUACAAUUAUGUUAAAAAAGAAAUAUAUAUAUAAGGAAAUGAAAUUUGAAAGAAGAAAGUUACGCGAGCGUGUACGUCUCUAAUAGAGCGCACAACGGCCUUCUUUGGUUGCUCUUUAUCCGUUCAUGCACAAAAGAUCUUUCCUGCAAGGAACUGCGCGGCACAAUACCCCUCGCUUCUACCCUUACUGCCGGAAGGGUAGUCGCGACAGCUUUCGAAGGCUCGUUUACGUCGAUUAACCGAGCUGUUCUCGUUACAAGCCGUGAUCCGCGAGAUCGCCGGGACGUCGUCGUUGCCUCGUCCGGUUGCCACGAAGCUUAUCGACAAGCUGUCUACCCGACACGACGGCCACGGGCAAGGAAGCGCCUUCGUCCAAUUGAUCAACGUUAACGGAAGGUCCGAGGUUUAUGUUAAGAAGGCGAACCACCGACCUCGUUCAACCUCACCGACCCAAACGAGAAGCGCACACCAUGCAGGCGUGUGCGACGGCCACGUCGCAUCCGCCGACCUUUUUGUCACCGUACCUCUGCGGUUCUCUGGUCGCGUGCCGGACUGUAAUCCGUCUCUCUUCCGCUCACGGACGUUCCCCUUUUUUCCUACAAUAAGAUGGUCAGGUCGAACCUGUGUGCAAAGAAGGGUCAAUCGAGGAUUAACCUGUUUACCACAGAGGGAUCAUAUGGGAAAUGAUACAGGUGCCUUGCGGGUUUUAGUGAAAACGAGAAGCUAACGAUGUUGACGCCCUGUCAAGCGGCAAAGAUUUUCCGUAAUAUACGUACAUCGUAAAUACGAAAUCUUCAACUUUCUACCUUUCACGCACGUUUCCUGUCUACGUUUAUCGGUUUACGGAAGAGAAUCGUUAAGAAAGCGGAAGAAGAUAAGAUCAGGGAAUCGAUCAUGCGCCAUUGUGCUAUCCGACCGAGAUCAACUGCGUGCACCCUUGCAGGUGUCGCACAAUUGCAAGGAAGGAUUUCCAGGUGCAAGGACUCCAGCUAUUCUAUUUAAUUCCAGGAAUAACAGUAUCCUGAGGCUACCAGCAGUACGCUCGGCCAUCGACAGUAUCUAAAUUACAAGCGUAAUUCCUGAGAGAAACAACGAUCUGUGAGGCUACGAAGUCAUCUCGUUAAUCACUCUUAGUAAUUGUUCAUGCUAAUCCUCUUUACUUGCAGCGUAAACCACUGCAUGCUAAGAAAACUUUCAACCUUUGGUAUACUUCGUUCGUAUCCUUUGCGAAUAUUCGCCGGAUUAUUAAAGAAGAAGAGGAAAAGAGAGGGUUGAAAAUGGGAUGGUCGACGAUCUUUGUGUAAACAGAAAUUGUCCAUCGACGUAUAAGAUGUGAUGCAACGCGCCUUGUCAAGCUCAUACCAGACGGAAUUGAACGAGAACUGUGCGAUAAUCCCAGAUGAACAGCUAUAUAUUUUUCAUGCGAACGAAAUAACCGGUCGUUACCAAUUUUCGAAGCACAAAAAGGGAAUCUUUAAUCCUCGGCUUGGCGAGCGAUUUAUUUUCAUCAGGGAAUCGCAUCGUCUCCGCGAUCGAACGGCAGAGAAACGUUAUGUUACGCUAACAAACGUUAAUUUGUGCCCUCACGGUCGACGUAUCGAAUUAUUGUAGCUUUCAAGAGAUCUUCCCUUCCCGUUUCCCCCGUACACUUAGGCCAAUCGUGAAUCAAAUCGCAUUAGCCUCGCAGAUGCAUAUUCAUGGGAAACGUAUGGCAGAUUACACAGGUUUCGUUGCACCCCGCCUACCAAGAGGGGUGUUUUGCAUCCCUUGAAAAAGGGUUCCAAGCAUAUUUAUCGAGGCAAAACGACGUCGUAAACGCUCACGAUAUCGUCCUCUCCUUUCGUUACUUUCACCCCCCUCCCCUCUCCUACUUUUAUUCAUACCGUCUUACGUUUUUCACGUUUCAAUCUCUUUCUUUCUCCUUUUAUCUUUUCGUCUUUUUUGUUCGCAUACGUAGUCCCAUUUAUCGUACUUUGUCGUCGUUCGCGUUCCAACGGACGGAAUUUGAUCGACUUGCGAGACCCUCGAGCGUUACUCGUGACGAGACAACAAGCUUUUUCAUUUCUUCGCGGGAGAAAUCGUUUCUUCGUGAUGGGACGUAACGGCUCCAGGGAUCCUCGUGUUUGAUACGGAAUUUGACAGCACGGUAAUCGUGCUAUCAGACCGACAGACGGUGAAAGCGAUGGGGAGGAAUAUGGACUUCGGAGCGUUGCGUUGGUUUUGUAAUUUGAUCGUAUACUACGGUGCUCUUCAGGAUUUUCGAAUGGUACUGUCGAAAUCUCUCCGUUUGAAGAGACCAGGCACUUAGAAAUUCAUGGAAUAUAAAUUUACAAGCUAUCUUUAUUAACGUGUUCAACUUUAUUAACGCUAUCAACUGCUUGUUUCUUAAUUAGAAAUUUGUGCGAUCAUAUUUCGUAUUAUUAAAGUCGAUACACGCAAGUGAAUCGAAUAAGUCGAUCGUAACUCUUCUAUUAGGUUGUCCAAAUAGUUCUUUUCGUUUUAUAAGCAAGUAGUAGAUGCACAACAUUUUUUGUUUUAUAUUAUUUUAUUCAAUUAUGUUUGAUACAUUUUAUUCUAUUACUACAAAAUGGAUCAUUUUGUAGUGGAUCAUAAAUCCAUAAAAUAAUAUAAAAUAAAAAAUGUUUUGCAUCUAUUAUUUCACUAAUGAAACAAAAGAAACUUUUUGGACUUUUGGAUGUUUCCCAAGUUUAUUUUCCCAUCUUACAUUAAAACACGAAGAUGGUAUCCCGCUGGGGGUAGCCACCCACGCGAUAAUCAAGCAGUUAAAAAAUUCUACCAAAUGUUCAAAUUGGACAAACUGUGAAUGAAAAGAAUUAAAUAAAAAAAAAAUUUACAUUAAUAUAUCCUUGUUUCUUAAGGUAUCCCAAGGUAUCCUCGAGCACGUGAAAAGAUCAAAAUGAAAAAUUCUACGACACGAAACAUAUUCGUCGAAUUCGCACAGGAUCCUCGCAAAAGCAUUAUCCGAUAUUUCCGAAACCACGCACGGAAUGUCUGCAACCCCCGAAAUUAGUCACGGAAGCGUCUACCUCGUCGCCACCAGGGAAAAGUUAGAUUGUUCCCCCCGGAAGAAUGGAAAAGAAGUCUGCGCGAGAAAAGGAAUCAAGCGACGAGAAGAAAGAGAUAGAAGGGGUCGGAUGAUUAUCCGAAGUUCAUCGGUCCUCUUCACGAACUCGUGAGCCUGCUAAGCCACGCAUUAGAAACAUCCAGGCGGAGUUAUUCAGGUCGUGCGACUCGUUUUCUCCUGGUUCGCGCGCGCCGAUUUCUCCAUCGCACGCGUACGUGUACGUUGCUCUCUUCUCUGUAUUUCAAUCUGUCCGUGUCCGUAACUCUUUGCAUGUGUGUGCGUGGUAAGUCUGAUCGUGAAUGCCGCUGAAGGAUUAUGGGGUGCGAGUGUGACGAGUUCUUCGAGGACCGUCCUUGUCCUCCGCCUUCUUUUUCUUCUUCUUCUUCUUCUUCUGCUGCUUCUUCUUCUUCUUCCUUUCCUUCUUUACACCUCGAGUCCUUACGAUCGUCGGUUACGCGAAUAUUGUGUCACCGAUGGGAUUAUCCCUGCUCCCUUUUUUCAGCACUGAGGACAGUAUACACGAUUUCUCAUCGAACGCACGAUGAGUCGCGCUAUCCAUUCAAAAACAGGAACAGAUUCGCGUCGUGCGAUCGCUAGGAGUUAAACUUAGGGCGUUUCUUGUUCCGUAUUUUAAAGGAUGUUGGAGAAAAGAGAAAGCUGCGCAAUUGAUAAAUUCUUGAUGUUCUUCGUGGACAUAUUUUAUACAUAUUGACUUUACGGGACAAUUUUUAGAAUCGUUGAUGGAACGUCUUCGUAUUUAUAGUUAUGACAUCGAGUAGCUUCUUACGAUGUUAUAAGCCACGGGUAAAAAGUUGCGAAAAGAUCGAAGAGAAUAGAACGAAGAUGUUCUUUGAAAGUACAUGUAUUCACUGUAAUUUAAAUAGCUUUCGUACGUGGUAUAGAAGAAAGCGAGUGUAAUUGAACGUAAAUGAGUGUAAUUGAAAAAUUAAAAAACAAAUUGAACAAUGACUAAUUAUCGAAUAAAGAAAUAGUUCUAAUCACAAGUUGUAUAAGGAUAUUCAAUAGGAUAAUCACUGACAGAAAAAUGGAAUCAAUAGAAAAACCAUC